rnacentral:rRNA from 1 species
CCUACGGGUGGCUGCAGUCGAGGAUCUUCGGCAAUGGGGGCAACCCUGACCGAGCGACGCCGCGUGGGCGACGAAGGCCUUCGGGUUGUAAAGCCCUGUCGAGGGGGAGGAAAGCCUCACGGCUUGACCCAUCCCUGGAGGAAGCACGGGCUAAGUUCGUGCCAGCAGCCGCGGUAAGACGAACCGUGCGAACGUUGUUCGGAAUCACUGGGCUUAAAGGGCGCGUAGGCGGGCUGCAAAGUCCGGGGUGAAAGUCGCCGGCUCAACCGGCGAAC